rnacentral:lncRNA from 1 species
UCUCUCUCUCUCUCUCAAUCCGUCAUUAAAGAUUCUGAAAUAUGUUUGGUUUGGAUCUUCUAGGGUUCAUCGAUUUUCUUGUCAUCCUUCCUUGUUGUGACUCCGUUUUUUUUUUCUGGUUUUUGGGCAUUGCAGGUAACCUUCAUCAACUGUUUCAUCUUUUUAAUUAAAUCUCCUCUUCGGUUCUAUUUAUGCAGGAAUCGACUUUUUUGUGUCCAACGGGACAUGUGGUAACACAUAGCACAACAAAGACGCACACACAGCUCGGUUCGGUCUCUUCUACGGUAAAUUCUUCUUUUAUGUUGUUUCUUCGGAGUUUUGACCGUUUGAUAAAUUUGGUAUCUCACACUUUAUGUCCUGAAGUGAAUUUUAUUGUUCAUCAAAAUUAUAACUUUUAUUACCUGCCUUCUUGGUUAUUAUUGUCAUCUUUUUUUUUUUUUUUUUUUUUUUUUGGUUCUAAAGCACGAUACUUUUUGCAGGUCUUCCAUGGCUGCAGUAACCAAACUGAUGUCAGUAUGCUCAUAACUCUAAUCACUUACGAUUUUUAUUAUCUAAUAUAUAGGAUUAAACAGUAGGUGGUUUCAUGAUUACAGCUUCGUCCCUUUAGAAUUAGCCAAUAAUUCAAGUUUAUCCCUCUUUCGUUUUUACUUUUGUUUGUUUCUAUUCACAAGUGUAUAGACGUAACCGUAAGAUGCUAAUGAAUGGUUAAAGGUAUAAUGGCUUAUGGAUGAGGGAGGUGAAGACAUCCCAAAGAGCUAAAGCUUGUUAGAGCUCUACCAUUACAAAAAGGUAACUCUUAAUUGUAGUUAUAGCUUCAUGCUCUAGUUUUAUAACAUAAUUCUGCAACACAUCUUACUUAUGAAUGAGCUUUUCUGUUUUGUUUACAUAUUUUUAGGUACAUCCAUAUGUAGCUAAGCUAGUUACUGAACCAAGACCUCGAAGUUGUAAUGGAUUUUUGCUGAGGGAGGUUAAGGCACAUCCCAAAGUGCUGAAGCUUGUUGGUGCUCAUUGUCAUAUAAGCUCUGGCAUGAUUACUAAGGUAUCUCUGAUUUUGUUACUUUAUGCUUACUUUACAUAUACCCAGAUGAAUACGACUUGCUCUAUAUUCAUGUUUUCCUUUGCUAUGUCUCUUAAUUCACUACUCUUAAGCUAUACAUAUUUGCGUAUGUUUUUUUUUUAUUCCAGGUGGUUAUAUUUAGAGAUAAUGAUGCAGUCUUAUGGUGGAAAACAUUGAUCAAAUCCAACUCUUAGGUUACUGUGGUAGGACGAGUUUCUGAUACUAAUUAGCAAAUAUUUCAAUUUCUUCCCCUUUCUUUUUUACUUUGGUUUGCUUCUAUUUGCAGGUGUAUCUACUUUAACAUGGGGAAUGAUUCAAGGUCUUAAUCGCUAGAUCUUAAUUGUGGUUAGGUUAACUCUAUUUGC